UGGGCGCAAGCCUGAUGCAGCCAUGCCGCGUGGUGGUGAAGAAGGCCUUCGGGUUGUAAAGCACUUUCAGUCGUGAGGAAGGUAGUGUAGUUAAUAGCUGCAUUACUUGACSKUAGCGACAGAAGAAGCMCSGKCUAACUCCGUG
rnacentral:rRNA from 1 species